rnacentral:rRNA from 1 species
GACGAACGCUGGCGGCGUGCUUAACACAUGCAAGUCGAACGGGGCUCAUCGCUUCGGUGGUGGGUCCAGUGGCGAACGGGUGAGUAACACGUGGGCAACCUGCCCCCGGCUCUGGGAUAACUCCAAGAAAUUGGGGCUAAUACCGGAUGUGACCGCUGGCCGCAUGGUCUGGUGGUGGAAAGGGUUUCCGGCUGGGGAUGGGCCCGCGGCCUAUCAGCUUGUUGGUGGGGUAGUGGCCUACCAAGGCGACGACGGGUAGCCGGCCUGAGAGGGUGACCGGCCACACUGGGACUGAGACACGGCCCAGACUCCUACGGGAGGCAGCAGUGGGGAAUAUUGCGCAAUGGGCGGAAGCCUGACGCAGCGACGCCGCGUGGGGGAUGACGGCCUUCGGGUUGUAAACCUCUUUCAGCAGGGACGAAGCCGCGAGGUGACGGUACCUGCAGAAGAAGCACCGGCCAACUACGUGCCAGCCGCCGCCGUAA